UGGGGAAUCUUGCGCAAUGGGCGAAAGCCUGACGCAGCGACGCCGCGUGCGGGAAGAAGGCCUUCGGGUUGUAAACCGCUUUCAGGAGGGACGAAGCCACUCGGGUGAACAGCCCAGAGGGUGACGGUACCUCCAGAAGAAGCCCCGGCUAACUACGUGCCAGCAGCCGCGGUAAUACGUAGGGGGCAAGCGUUGUCCGGAUUCAUUGGGCGUAAAGAGCGUGUAGGCGGCCAGGUAGGUCGGUUGUGAAAACUGGAGGCUCAACCUUCAGAGGUCGACCGAAACCAUCUGGCUAGAGGCCGGGAGAGGAGAGUGGAAUUCCUGGUGUAGCGGUGAAAUGCGCAGAUAGCAGGAAGAACACCCGUGGCGAAAGCGGCUCUCUGGAACGGUACUGACGCUGAGACGCGAAAGCGUGGGGAGCGAACAGG
rnacentral:rRNA from 1 species